rnacentral:rRNA from 1 species
AAUUUUGGACAAUGGGGGAAACCCUGAUCCAGCCAUCCCGCGUGUAUGAUGAAGGCCUNCGGGUUNUNAAGUACUUUUGGCAGAGNCGAAAAGGUAUCUCCUAAUACGAGAUACUGCUGACGGUAUCUGCAGAAUAAGCACCGGCUAACUACGUGCCAGCAGCCGCGGUAAUACGUAGGGUGCAAGCGUUAAUGGGAAUUACUGGGCGUAAAGCGUGUGUAGUCGGUUCGGAAAGAUAUAUGGUAAAUCCCAGGGCUCAACCGUGGAACUGCAUUUUUAACUGCCGAGCUAGAGUAUGUCAGAGGGCGGUAGAAUUCCACGUGUAGCAGUGAAAUGCGUAGAUAUGUAGAGGAAUACCGAUGGCGAAGGCAGCCCCCUGGGAUAAUACUGACGCUCAGACACGAAAGCGUGGGGAGCAAACAG